rnacentral:rRNA from 1 species
GAUGAACGCUAGCUACAGGCUUAACACAUGCAAGUCGAGGGGAAACGGUGAGAGAGCUUGCUCUCUUAGGCGUCGACCGGCGCACGGGUGAGUAACGCGUAUCCAACCUACCCAUUACAGGGGGAUAACCUUGCGAAAGUAAGACUAAUACCCCAUGGCAUUUUAUGGUGGCAUCAUUAUAGGAUUAAAGAUUUAUUGGUAAUGGCUGGGGAUGCGUCUGAUUAGCUUGUUGGCGGGGUCACGGCCCACCAAGGCAACGAUCAGUAGGGGUUCUGAGAGGAAGGUCCCCCACAUUGGAACUGAGACACGGUCCAAACUCCUACGGGAGGCAGCAGUGAGGAAUAUUGGUCAAUGGGCGAGAGCUUGAACCAGCCAAGUAGCGUGCAGGAGGACGGCCCUAUGGGUUGUAAACUGCUUUUAUAGGGGAAUAAAGUGAGCUACGUGUAGUUUAUUGCAUGUACCCUAUGAAUAAGGACCGGCUAAUUCCGUG